CCCUUAGAUGUCCGGGGCUGCACGCGCGCUACACUGAAGGAAUCAGCGUGCUAAAACCAUUGUCGAAAGGCAUUGGUAAACCCAUUAAAAUCCUACGUGAUUGGGAUCGGGAAUUGCAAUUAUUUCCCUUGAACGAGGAAUUCCCAGUAAGUGUGGGUCAUAAGCUCGCGUUGAUUACGUCCCUGCCCUUUGUACACACCGCCCGUCGCUGCCCGGGACUGAGCCGUUUCGAGAAAAGCGGGGACUGCUGCUGUCGGGGCUUUCGGGCCUUGGCUUCGGUGGAAACCGCUUUAAUCGCAGUGGCUUGGACCGGGCAAAANUCGUAACA
rnacentral:rRNA from 1 species